GAUGAACGCUAGCGGCAGGCCUAACACAUGCAAGUCGAGGGGUAGAACACUUCGGUGUUUGAGACCGGCGCACGGGUGCGUAACGCGUAUGCAAUCUACCUUGUACAGGGGAAUAGCCCAGAGAAAUUUGGAUUAAUGCCCCAUAGUAUAUAACCUUCGCAUGUUGGUUAUAUUAAAGUUCCAACGGUACAAGAUGAGCAUGCGUCCCAUUAGUUAGUUGGUAAGGUAACGGCUUACCAAGACGAUGAUGGGUAGGGGUCCUGAGAGGGAGAUCCCACACACUGGUACUGAGACACGGACCAGACUCCUACGGGAGGCAGCAGUGAGGAAUAUUGGUCAAUGGGCACAAGCCUGAACCAGCCAUGCCGCGUGCAGGAAGACGGUCCUAUGGAUUGUAAACUGCUUUUAUACAGGAAGAAACCCUCCCACGUGUGGGAGAUUGACGGUACUGUAGGAAUAAGCACCGGCUAACUACGUGCCAGCAGCCGCCGUAAUAC
rnacentral:rRNA from 1 species